rnacentral:rRNA from 1 species
UGCUUAACACAUGCAAGUCGAACGAGAACGGACUAUAGCUUGCUAUAGUUGUCAGCUAAGUGGCGCACGGGUGAGUAAUAUAUAGGUAAUGUGCCCUAGAGAGGGGGAUAACAGUUGGAAACGACUGCUAACACCCCAUAUGCCUUUAAAACAUAAGUUUGCAAGGGAAAUAUUUAUAGCUCUAGGAUCGGCCUGUACAGUAUCAGCUAGUUGGUGAGGUAAUGGCUCACCAAGGCAAUGACGCUUAACUGGUUUGAGAGGAUGAUCAGUCACACUGGAACUGAGACACGGUCCAGACUCCUACGGGAGGCAGCAGUGGGGAAUAUUGCACAAUGGGGGAAACCCUGAUGC